rnacentral:misc_RNA from 1 species
GAUGAAGAACGCAGCGAAAUGCGAUAAGUAGUGUGAAUUGCAGAAUUCAGUGAAUCAUCGAAUCUUUGAACGCACAUUGCGCCCUUUGGUAUUCCAAAGGGCAUGCCUGUUCGAGCGUCAUUUGUACCCUCAAGCUUUGCUUGGUGUUGGGCGUCUUGUCUCUAGCUUUGCUGGAGACUCGCCUUAAAGUAAUUGGCAGCCGGCCUACUGGUUUCGGAGCGCAGCACAAGUCGCACUCUCUAUCAGCAAAGGUCUAGCAUCCAUUAAGCCUUUUUUUCAACUUUUGACCUCGGAUCAGGUAGGGAUACCCGCUGAACUUAAGCAUAUCAAUAAGGGAGGA